UAACAAAAAAAUUUCCUGAAUAAAAUGGCAUUACAUGCUUAUGCACGGUAAAGUGCACUUUACAUCACUGCUUGUGACAGGGAAAAUGAACUUAUCGUCCACAAACAUGUAAAAUGUGUUACAUCACUGCUUGUAAAUGCUUGUUUAGGCAC